rnacentral:rRNA from 1 species
GACGGAGGGUGCAAGCGUUGUUCGGAUUGACUGGGCGUAAAGGGCGUGUAGGCGGCCGGCCAAGUCCGGUGUGAAAGCCCGGGGCUUAGCCCCGGAAGGGCAUCGGAAACUAGCCGGCUAGAGCGCGAUAGAGGAGGGUGGAAUUCCUGGUGUAGCGGUGAAAUGCGUAGAUACCAGGAGGAACACCGGCGGCGAAGGCGGCCCUCUGGGUCGUUGCUGACGCUGAGACGCGAAAGCGUGGGGAGCAAACAGG